rnacentral:rRNA from 1 species
GACGGAGGGUGCAAGCGUUGUUCGGAAUCAUUGGGCGUAAAGCGCGUGUAGGCGGUGGGAUAAGUCCGAUGUGAAAGCCUUGGGCUCAACCCAAGAAGUGCAUUGGAAACUAUCCCUCUUGAGUACGGGAGGGGGAAGUGGAAUUCCCAGUGUAGAGGUGAAAUUCGUAGAUAUUGGGAGGAACACCGGUGGCGAAAGCGACUUCCUGGAACGAUACUGACGCUGAGACGCGAAAGCGUGGGGAGCAAACAGG